UUUAGUGUGAUAAUGGCGUUUGAUAGACUGGACACAAACACCAUUGUCACACUCCAUA
rnacentral:pre_miRNA from 1 species